rnacentral:tRNA from 1 species
UAUGAAAUGCCUGAAAAAGGAUUAUUCUGAUAGAAUAAAUUAUGUAAAUAAAAAUUACUUUCAUUG